GUGUUUAUCUCUAGUAUCUGUUGUCGGUACUGAGUUGAGAGCUCGGCAGUCAGUUUGCUUGCUUAAGUCGCUCAGGUGCGACACAGGUGAUCUCGGUUAAAUCCAAUGACGAGUGAGUGUUCGGAGCUGGUAGCAGGUGGAAGUGGUUUGCACUGGUUUAGUGCUUGAAGUGUCGAGUCAGUAUUGUAACAAACGGUAAAGCGUGCAUCUCAAAAAAGUGAUAAGAAUUUGAAAAGCAACGUUUGUGUAUAACAAAGAUUUAAAACAAAAAAAUCAGUAUUUGAUUUUGUGUCUUGAAAGAAUAAUAGCCAGAAAUUAUCAACAUGAUCAGCUUACAUAGUGUUUUGAAUGUUAUUGUUAUUUCGAUAAGUGUGAUUCAUAUUCGUGCACAAAUAGAUGAGAAAUUCCAUUAUUCAACAAAUAAUGGAGGAAAAUUUGAUGGAAAUACGUAUGUACAAUUUUCGGAGCCACCAGAUGAAGUUCCUGAUUAUAAUGUCAACGAGAUACCAUUAGAUCUAAUGAUGCAAAUCAGCAGUAUUUCAAAUGUUUCGGAAUUUAUUGACCGAUUCGUGGAUAAAAAGACAAUAGAUCCCAGGGACGGUAUUUUAAAUGGUGAUGUAGACGUUCUGCAACGAAGUAUUGGCAGAAGACCAGUUCCAGCUGUUUGUAUACCCAGUGAUACAAUUGUUAGGCUUCAACCGGAUGAACCACAUGCAAGUAAUGUUAUAUACAUUCCGUCGUGUACUAGGGUAAAGCGGUGUGGUGGAUGCUGCAAUCAUGCACAGUUGGCAUGUCAACCUAUUGAAACUGAACAAAUAACUUUUGAGGUUAUUAAAGAAAAAUACGUGGGUGGUGGAAAGUUCGUACACGAAAAUAAGGCACUCGUUGUAGUGGAGCAACAUAAGCGGUGCAGAUGCAGUUGUCGCAAGAAAGCUUCGGACUGUAAUUCGUUUCAAAAAUAUAUCGAGUCGCAAUGUUUAUGUUCUUGCACAAAUUACGAGGACAGGGAGAAAUGUUUGGGCACAAUUGACCGCAUUUGGGACCCAGAAAACUGUCUAUGUCGAUGUAAACAGGUGCAUGAAUGUACAACAGGAACAUUUUACGAUGAAAACAUUUGCGGUUGCUCACCGAUAGACUAUUAAAUUGGGUUUACAAAGCAUACAUACAUACAUAAAAACUAUACCCACGAAUGAUUAAAAUUUGUUCAUUCCCUUAGUUUAGUUUUUAUAUAAAUUAUGAACAGAAUAUCAGUAAAAAAUAAACUUGCAUUUACAAUUACUAACUGUAUAGAAAUAGAUGGGAUGAGAAAUUUUAUGCGACUACAUUUGUAUUGCCCGUGCUGAUCGCAGGAAGUUUAUAAUCAAGCCUACGAUUGUUAAUCCCGACAAAAAAUAAGACUUUAUCGUUAACUGAUUGCAAACUAUUUUAACUCAUAAGAAAAUAUACUUUUUAAAAAAUG